rnacentral:misc_RNA from 1 species
ACAAUAGAACAUCAUGAUACAGCGGACAAGGAAGAAGAGCAAAAGGCAGAGGAACGAAUGCACAUCGAGUACAUAAAAAGGCAGCUAAUGGCUAAAUUGCGCCUUUCCUCCGCGCCCGUGUCCAAGAGUGACGCGUCGGUCCUGCCCCUGGCGGAGUUGGGGAGGGGUUUCCUUCAGACCCAGCAUGACCAAGGACAAAAGAAAUACAAGCCGCAUCACUUCUACGCCAAAGCGCUGCAAAUCUACGUCAUCGGAAACGACGAAACGGAGAACUGCAGUUACCGGAAGUCGGCCGGUUGCUACUAUUUUGACGUCAACGGAAAGGUGCCAGCCAGUGAUGUCCAAAAAGCCGAGCUGUGGAUCUAUAAACUCUUCUACCACCGAGAUCCAGUGGUCCAGACUUUUGUUGUAUCGGAACUCGGAAGAACCAACAGAGCGGAACGGAAGGUCCGUCCACGCAACAUCAUAAAUAGGUUCGAGACCAAAAUUAAGCACGGUUGGCUGAAAAUUGACGUCACAGAGACAGUUGUGCGGUGGCUACAAAAACCCGCUAGGAACGAUGGGAUAUCAAUACUGUGUAAAGGAUGUCAAAGAAAGAAUCACAAGACAAUAUUUAGUUCUAAAUAUGAUUCCAUGCCAUUCCUGGCAAUAACAACUAGAAAAAGUCACAGGAGUCGGCGCUCAAAGCGGUCUGCGCCUGUUGCAUGUUCCCUUGGAUAUGAGGGGUGUUGUUUGGCGCCUCUAGAGAUCAACUUUGACGAAAUCGGUUGGACUGGAAUUAUAGCUCCUAAAAAGUUGAACUAUGCUUAUUGCAAAGGCUCAUGUAAUGACGAAAUCGACGCUCACAGUAAUCACAGCAAAAUGGUACAAGAGUACCGAUACUCUAAUGUCGCAACAGACAAAGAAAGGCGGGAAAUGACGCCAUGUUGUGCCCCAAUAUCGUUUUCCGCGCAGUCCAUGUUAAUAAGGAUCGAUUCUACAGUAAUCCAUCAGAAUAUCCCGAACCUGAUACCGACUGCGUGCGGGUGUCUGUGAUGAUGUUUGGACGGUGACAAAUAAGGAUAUAGGGCAAGCAACGAUCAAUGCAAUUAAACUACGAUCAACCCAUUAUUUUUAUUUGUUUUCUAUGAAAAUAAUUAUUGUUACCAUUGUUACGGAGUAAACAUGAUAGUAUAUAUAUAUCACAAAUCCUCAAAAAUAUAGAACAUUUAAAACUCCAUAUUUUUUAUAUUGACCUUGUGUGUAGAUGACACUUUCCAACUACUAGCUGCAUCUUUUGGUCUGUUAUGACAAUCGGCUAACUUCGAGAGGAUUUUCAUUUUCGUAGAAACGUUGAUGGUGGAAUUUUGAGAAUAUCUACAUUUAAAUGUAGGGUGUUAUUUUGUUUGUUGAUUUUCAUGUAAAUAAAUUAAAAUUCUUUGU